CACGUAGGGGGCGAGCGUUGUCCGGAUUUAUUGGGCGUAAAGAGCUCGUAGGCGGCUCAGUAAGUCAAGUGUGAAAACUCCAGGCUCAACCUGGAGACGCCACCUGAUACUGCUGUGGCUAGAGUCCGGUAGGGGAGCAUGGAAUUCCUGGUGUAGCGGUGAAAUGCGCAGAUAUCAGGAGGAACACCAGUGGCGAAGGCGGUGCUCUGGGCCGGAACUGACGCUGAGGAGCGAAAGCGUGGGGAGCAAACAGG
rnacentral:rRNA from 1 species